rnacentral:snRNA from 1 species
GUUCACUUCAGUAAAACAUAUGUUGAAUUUGGAAUGAUACAGAGAAGAUUGUAUGGCCCCUGCACAAGGAUGACAUGCAAAUUGUAAGUGUUCCACAAAACAAAA